rnacentral:rRNA from 1 species
UUAUUGGGCCUAAAGCGUCCGUAGCUGGCCGAGCAAGUCUGUCGGGAAAUCCAGUAGCUCAACUACUGGACGUCCGGUGGAAACUGUUCGGCUUGGGACCGGAAGAUCCAAGGGGUACGUCCGGGGUAGGAGUGAAAUCCUGUAAUCCUGGACGGACCACCGAUGGCGAAAGCACCUUGGAAGCACGGAUCCGACAGUGAGGGACGAAAGCUAGGGUCUCGAACCGGAUUAGAUACCCGGGUAGUCCUAGCCGUUAACGAUGCCCGCUAGGUUUGGCGCAGGCUACGAGCCUGCGCUGUGCCGAAGUGAAGACGUAAGCGGGCCGCCUGGGAAGUACGUCCGCAAGGAUGAAACUUAAAGGAAUUGGCGGGGGAGCAC